rnacentral:rRNA from 1 species
GUCUACGGCCAUGCCACCCUGAACAAGCCCGACCCCGUCUGAUCUUGAAAGCUAAGCAGGGUCGGGCCUGGUUACUACUUGGAUGGGAGACCACCUAGGAAAAUCAGGUGCUGUAGGCU